GAGAAAUCAGUUCAGAGUACUUUGUAAAGCCUUUCUCUCUGUACUGUUGUUGCAGUACCAUGAAACGUUGUAAACGUUUUCUCAAGCAUAUCAUAAUCAGAGAUAUUAUCCCUGCAUAGCUUCAAUUUAGAAGUAAUUCUGAACAUUGCAGAAUUAUAUUCAGAAACGGACUUAAAGUCCUGGAGCCUCAGAUGAGCCCAAUCAUAUCNNNN
rnacentral:lncRNA from 1 species